CCUACGGGAGGCAGCAGUGAGGGAUAUUGGUCACUGGGCGCCAGCCUGAUGGAGCAACACCGCGUGAGUGAAGAAGGGUUUCGGCUCGUAAAGCUCUGUUGUUGGAGAAGAACGUUCGUGAGAGUAACUGUUCACGCAGUGACGGUAUCCACCCAGACAGUCACGGCUAACUACGUGCCAGCAGCCGCGGUAAUACGUAGGUGGCAAGCGUUAUCCGGAUUUAUUGGGCGUAAAGCGAGCGCAGGCGGUUGCUUAGGUCUGAUGUGAAAGCCUUCGGCUUAACCGAAGAAGUGCAUCGGAAACCGGGCGACUUGAGUGCAGAAGAGGACAGUGGAACUCCAGGUGUAGCGGUGGAAUGCGUAGAUAUAUGGAAGAACACCAGUGGCGAAGGCGGCUGGCUGGUCUGCAACUGACGCUGAGGCUCGAAAGCAUGGGUAGCGAACAGGAUUAGAUACCCUUGUAGUC
rnacentral:rRNA from 1 species